rnacentral:rRNA from 1 species
UACGUAGGGUGCAAGCGUUGUCCGGAAUUAUUGGGCGUAAAGGGCUCGUAGGCGGUUUGUCGCGUCGGGAGUGAAAACCCAGGGCUUAACCCUGGGCUGGCUUCCGAUACGGGCAGACUAGAGGUAUGCAGGGGAGAACGGAAUUCCUGGUGUAGCGGUGAAAUGCGCAGAUAUCAGGAGGAACACCGGUGGCGAAGGCGGUUCUCUGGGCAUUACCUGACGCUGAGGAGCGAAGGUGUGGGGAGCGAACAGG